rnacentral:rRNA from 1 species
AUACGUAGGGGGCGAGCGUUGUCCGGAAUGAUUGGGCGUAAAGGGCGCGUAGGCGGCGCGGUAAGUCUGGAGUGAAAGUCCUGCUUUCAAGGUGGGAAUUGCUUUGGAUACUGCCGCGCUUGAGUGCAGGAGAGGUUAUCGGAAUUCCCGGUGUAGCGGUGAAAUGCGUAGAGAUCGGGAGAAACACCAGUGGCGAAGGCGGGUAACUGGACUGCAACUGACGCUGAGGCGCGAAAGUGUGGGGAGCAAACAGGAUUAGAUACCCUGGUAGUCCACACUGUAAACGAUGAAUGCUAGGUGUAAGAGGUAUCGACCCCUUUUGUGCCGGAGUCAACACAAUAAGCAUUCCGCCUGGGGAGUACGGCCGCAAGGUUGAAACUCAAAGGAAUUGACGGGG